GACGUAGGGCGCGAGCGUUGUCCGGAUUUAUUGGGCGUAAAGAGCUCGUAGGCGGUUUGUCGCGUCUGCUGUGAAAAUCCGGGGCUCAACCCCGGACUUGCAGUGGGUACGGGCAGACUAGAGUGUGGUAGGGGAGACUGGAAUUCCUGGUGUAGCGGUGAAAUGCGCAGAUAUCAGGAGGAACACCGAUGGCGAAGGCAGGUCUCUGGGCCACUACUGACGCUGAGAAGCGAAAGCGUGGGGGGCGAACAGG
rnacentral:rRNA from 1 species